UGAUGUGGACUGAAAAUAAGUAGGGAAGCACGUGAGCUGACUGUCAAGAAAAGCCGCUAUUGUUUGCAGGAUACCCGUACCGUAAACCGACACAGGUGGAUGAGGAGAGAAUCCUAAGGCCGACGGGAGAAGCAUUGUUAAGGAACUCGGCAAAAUGACUCCGUAACUUCGGGAGAAGGAGUGCCAGUAAGAUGGCCGCAGAGAAUUGGCCCAAGCAACUGUUUAGCAAAAACACAGGUCUAUGCAAAACCGAAAGGUGAGGUAUAUGGGCUGACGCCUGCCCGGUGCUCGAAGGUUAAGGGGAGAGGUUAGCGCAAGCGAAGCUUUGAACUUAAGCCCCAGUAAACGGCGGCCGUAACUAUAACGGUCCUAAGGUAGCGAAAUUCCUUGUCGGGUAAGUUCCGACCCGCACGAAAGGCGUAAUGAUUUGGGCACUGUCUCAACAAUGCACCCGGUGAAAUUGAAAUACCAGUGAAGAUGCUGGUUACCUGCGCCAGGACGGAAAGACCCCAUGGAGCUUUACUCCAGCUUGAUACUGGGAUUCGGUAUUGCAUGUACAGGAUAGGUGGGAGGCUAGGAAAUGGUAACGCCAGUUGCCAUGGAGCCAAUGUUGGGAUACCACCCUUGCAGUACUGGGUUUCUAACCAGCAGCCGUGAUCCGGCUGGGGGACAAUGUCAGGUGGGGAGUUUGACUGGGGCGGUCGCCUCCGAAAGGGUAUCGGAGGCGCUCAAAGGUUCCCUCAGAAUGGUUGGAAACCGUUCGAAGAGUGCAAAGGCAGAAGGGAGCUUGACUGCGACACCGACGGGUGGAGCAGGUACGAAAGUAGGACUUAGUGAUCCGGUGGUAUAAAGUGGGAUUGCCAUCGCUCAACGGAUAAAAGCUACCCUGGAUAACAGGCUUAUCACUCCCAAGAGUUCACAUCGACGGAGUGGUUUGGCACCUCGAUGUCGGCUCAUCGCAUCCUGGGGCUGAAGUAGGUCCCAAGGGUUGGGCUGUUCGCCCAUUAAAGCGGUACGCGAGCUGGGUUCAGAACGUCGUGAGACAGUUCGGUCCCUAUCCGGCGUGGGCGUAAGAUAUUUGAGAGGAGCUGUCCUUAGUACGAGAGGACCGGGAUGGACUGGCCGCUGGUGUAUCUGUUGUCUUACCAAAGGCAUAGCAGAGUAGCCAAGCCGGGAAGGGAUAAACGCUGAAGGCAUCUAAGCGUGAAGCCCCCCUCAAGAUGAGAUAUCUCAUAACGUCAAGUUAGUAAGACCCCUUGAAGACGACGAGGUAGAUAGGGCAGAGGUGGAAGUGUGGUAACACAUGGAGCUGACUGUUACUAAUAGGUCGAGGGCAUAACC
rnacentral:rRNA from 1 species